AAAAGUUUUAGUAUAGUAAUAGUAUAAUUUAUUGUCAAUAAAUAGGGAAAUAACUUUAAG
rnacentral:tRNA from 1 species